rnacentral:rRNA from 1 species
UGGGGAAUAUUGGACAAUGGGCGCAAGCCUGAUCCAGCGACGCCGCGUGUGUGAAGAAGGCCUGCGGGUUGUAAAGCACUUUCGAUGGGAACGAAAUGUGCCGGGUUAAUACCCCGGUAAGCUGACGUUACUCAAUGAAGAAGCACCGGCUAACUCUGUGCCAGCAGCCGCGGUAAUACAGAGGGUGCGAGCGUUAAUCGGAAUUACUGGGCGUAAAGCGCACGUAGGUGGCGACGUAAGUCGGGUGUGAAAGCCCCGGGCUCAACCUGGGAAUUGCAUUCGAGACUGCAUUGCUGGAGUACGGAAGAGGAGGGCGGAAUUCCCGGUGUAGCGGUGAAAUGCGUAGAUAUCGGGAGGAACAUCAGUGGCGAAGGCGGCCCUCUGGUCCAGUACUGACACUCAAGUGCGAAAGCGUGGGGAGCAAACGGGAUUAGAUACCCACGUAGUCCCUGAGCGGGCUGGCAAGGCGCAU